AGGGCUUUGACAUAUACAGGAAUGUUGUAGAGAUACAGCAGCCGCUUGCGGUCUGUAUACAGGUGCUGCAUGGCUGUCGUCAGCUCGUGCUGUGAAGUGUUGGGUUAAGUCCCGCAACGAGCGCAACCCUAUCAUCUGUUGCCAGCAUUUAAGGUGGGGACUCAGAUGAGACUGCCGGUGACAAACCGGAGGAAGUGGGGACGACGUCAAGUCAUCAUGGCCCUUAUGUCCUGGGCUACACACGUGCUACAAUGGCCGGUACAGAGUGAAGCGAAACCGCGAGGUGAAGCAAAACGCAGAAAGCCGGUCUCAGUACGGAUUGGAGUCUGAAACUCGACUUCAUGAAGUUGGAAUCGCUAGUAAUCGCGCAUCAGCAUGGCGCGGUGAAUACGUUCCCGGGCCUU
rnacentral:rRNA from 1 species